AGCUCCAAUAGCGUAUAUUAAAGUUGUUGCAGUUAAAAAGCUCAUAGUUGGAUUUCUAGCGGACGCGUCUGGUCUGCUCCGCGAGGAGUCGGUACUGAGCCGUCGUCUGUUAUCCUUGAGGAGAAUAUUCCUGGCAUUAAGUUGUCGGGAGUAGUAUCCUCAUCGUUUACUGUGAAAAAAUUAGAGUGUUCAAAGCAAGCUUAGGCUCUGAAUAUAUUAGCAUGGAAUAAUAAGAUAAGACCCUGGUGGUUUAUUUUGUUGGUUUGCACGCCGAGGUAAUGAUUAAUAGGGAUAGUUGGGGGUAUUCGUAUUCAAUUGUCAGAGGUGAAAUUCUUGGAUUUAUGGAAGACGAACUACUGCGAAAGCAUUUACCAAGGAUGUUU
rnacentral:rRNA from 1 species